rnacentral:rRNA from 1 species
ACUCAAAGGAAUUGACGGGGACCCGCACAAGCGGUGGAUGAUGUGGUUUAAUUCGAUGCUACGCGAAGAACCUUACCAAGGCUUGACAUCCUAGGAAUCCGCUAGAAACAGUGGAGUGCCUUCGGGAACCUAGUGACAGGUGUUGCAUGGCCGUCGUCAGCUCGUGUCGUGAGAUGUUGGGUUAAGUCCCGCAACGAGCGCAACCCUUAUCGUCUGUUGUAAUUUCAGGCGAGACUGCCCGGGCCAACCGGGAGGAAGGUGGGGAUGAAGUCAGGUCAGCAUGGCCCUUACGCCUUGGGCUACACACGUCAUACAAUGGCCGGUACAACGCGAAGCCAACCCGCGAGGGGGAGCUAAUCGUACCAAAACCGGUCCCAGUUCGGAUUGAAGGCUGCAACUCGCCUCCAUGAAGUCGGAAUCGCUAGUAAACGUGGGUCAGCAUACCACGUUGAAUACGUUCCCGGGUCUUGUACACACCGCCCGU